rnacentral:lncRNA from 10 species
UAUGAAGCCCGUGAACUCAACUCCUGAGAAGGACGCAGCAGAGCGAGAGAAAAGAUGGAAUAAAAAGGCCUACCUCAUUGGGCUCGUGUGGGUGAGGAGAACUGAAGAGUCUGAGAGCGCGGCACGAGCCAGAGGCUACGGAAAACACUGCCCUCCUACACUCCACCUUGGAGAGACCCAGAAAAGAACAAGCUUCAUUUGUAAAAAAG